AGCAUCAUUCGACUGCGUGAGAAUAUGGAUGUGGAGAUAAAUAAUAUCAUGGUUUGCCAUGCAGGUACAUUGAUCUAAAACCAUGCAUUACUUGACUUCCUGAGAAUGGAUAUGUUGGUUCUGCAUGAUAUUAAGCUGAAUUCAACAUCAUGAGACUGCAUGUUAGAUCUGCAUCUUGUUUUUGCUGCAUGGAGGAUGGAAAUUCUGCUCGAGAUUGUUCAGUUUUAGUGAAAGUGGUGAACUAAACUUGAUAAUGUAGACUGAGGAGAUCUAGUCAAUGUGGGAGGAUUAAAUUUAUAUGAUGAUCUGAACCAUUCUUUCGAUCUGGGACAAUCAUGAAUGGGUCAUAAAACAAAAUUACAGUGAUUAUACAGUCUCAAUCAUUUGUUGGUAUGUUACCCUUACCUGCAAUUUCCUGUUUUUGACUUUAUUAUAGACAAGAUCUUGUAAAACUCGGUUCCCUAAUUUCUAGCUUCUACGAAAUGACCGAAGUGAACUGAAUGCCGACCAAAUACAUACUCAUACUUUCGCUUUAUAAAUUCAAGGCAAGUUACAUUACUGAAGUGAAAGUGAACUUGACAUAUCUGAAUGACAAAUUUUGUGUACCUGGUUUGUUCC